rnacentral:misc_RNA from 1 species
GAUGAAGAACGUAGCGAAAUGCGAUAAUUAAUGUGAAUUGCAGAAUUCCGUGAAUCAUCGAGUCUUUGAACGCUCAUUGCGCCUCAUGGCAUUCCGUGAGGCAUGCCCAUCUCAGCGUUAGAAAAUAUUCUCAAAUUUUAGUUUUGUGCUAAAAUUUGGAUCAUGUCAAAGAAGCUAUUACUAUUAUUGUGAUCGCUCUUUGGAAAUUGAUAGGUCUUUGAGUUGCUACUCAUAGAACGUGAUGAAUCUUUCUUCGUUCUAUUGAAAUUCACUCUGGUAGUCCUAAAACUUGUAUGCCUGUGGCAUAUCUUGUAAUUUGACCUGAGAUUGGGUAGGGAUACCCGCUGAACUUAAGCAUAUCAUAAGCGGAGGA